CCCUGCCCCAGAAAACCUUCUCAUAGCCUUACCCACUGUCUUAAGUGUAACAAGCUGACCUUUCUUCAUUUCCUCUAACAAUGCCUCCAUCUGAUCCAUUUGUUUCAUUUUCCCCAGAAUGUCCACCAAUGUAUCAUAAGCUUCUGGCUUAUGCUUAUAGCCACGCAACUCUGCCCAUCUAAAGACACCCAAUGCAGAUUUCCAAUCAUCUUUAAAAUGGAACAACAAUCUGUUAACAAGGUCAUGAGAAAGAUGUAUACUAUUACACAUUUGAUCAUGCGCAAGAGAUUGAAGAAUCUCAUCAUGACUAUUCCCAACUCGAAC
rnacentral:misc_RNA from 1 species